rnacentral:lncRNA from 1 species
AUAGGAAUUGGUAUCUCGGGGUAGUAUAAGGAGGAUGGAAGAGGGGAAGAAAAUGCCAGACUGUGAGAGUUGUGAGCCGAGGGCCAGACUGUGAGAGUUGUGAGCCGAGGGCUAGACUGUAAGAGUUGUGAGCUGAGGGCCAGACUGCAAUAGUAUUGAGCCAAGGAUAAGCUUGGUGCUAUCUCUUCUUCUUAGUUUUCUUGUUUCUUUUGUAUUAGUGUUGAUUCUAAUGAAAAGAAUUGAUUUAAUGAAUUAAUGUUUGAUUUACAAAAUUAUUUAUGGAUCACUAUUUAUCAAUUGUUGUAAAAGAUUGAGGAUGUAUGGAAGUUUCCAGUCACUGUUUAUCGCAAGGUUGUAAGUUUAGUGGAGAAGAAUUGUAAUUGAAGGAAUUGUCUUGAUUAGAUUCUAUGGAUUGGAAGUUGUUCAUUCUAGGGUUUGGGAUAUGCUUGUAUAUUUGUGAAUUACACAAGGUACUGAAAUCGUUGUCGUGGAUGUUAUUAUAUUGAUAUGAGAGAGUGGACA